UGGCUCAGUGGUUAAGAGCACUGGCUGUUCUUCCAGAGGCCUUGGGUUCAAUUCCCAG
rnacentral:tRNA from 1 species